rnacentral:rRNA from 1 species
GACGAACGCUGGCGGCGUGCUUAACACAUGCAAGUCGAACGGAAAGGCCCUGCUUUUGUGGGGUGCUCGAGUGGCGAACGGGUGAGUAACACGUGAGUAACCUGCCCUUGACUUUGGGAUAACUUCAGGAAACUGGGGCUAAUACCGGAUAGGAGCUCCUGCUGCAUGGUGGGGGUUGGAAAGUUUCGGCGGUUGGGGAUGGACUCGCGGCUUAUCAGCUUGUUGGCGGGGUAGUGGCUUACCAAGGCUUUGACGGGUAGCCGGCCUGAGAGGGUGACCGGCCACAUUGGGACUGAGCUACGGCCCGCACUCCUACGGGAGGCAGCAGUGGGGGAUAUUGCCCAAUCGGCGGAAGCCUGAUGCAGCAACGCCGCGUGCGGGAUGACGGCCUUCGGGUUGUAAACCGCUUUCGCCUGUGACGAAGCGUCAGUGACGGUAAUGGAUAAAGAAGCACCGGCUAACUACGUG